UACGAAGGGGCUAGCGUUGCUCGGAAUCACUGGGCGUAAAGCGCACGUAGGCGGGUCUUUAAGUCAGGGUGAAAUCCUGGAGCUCAACUCCAGAACUGCCUUUGAUACUGAGGAUCUUGAGUUCGGGAGAGGUGAGUGGAACUGCGAGUGUAGAGGUGAAAUUCGUAGAUAUUCGCAAAGAACACCAGUGGCGAAGGCGGCCAACUGGUCCGGUACUGACGCUGAGGUGCGGAAAAGCGUGGGGGAGCAAACAGGG
rnacentral:rRNA from 1 species